rnacentral:rRNA from 1 species
AUUGAACGCUGGCGGCAUGCCUUACACAUGCAAGUCGAACGGCAGCACGGGAGCAAUCCUGGUGGCGAGUGGCGAACGGGUGAGUAAUAUAUCGGAACGUGCCCAGUCGUGGGGGAUAACGCAGCGAAAGCUGUGCUAAUACCGCAUACGAUCUACGGAUGAAAGCGGGGGAUCGCAAGACCUCGCGCGAUUGGAGCGGCCGAUAUCAGAUUAGCUAGUUGGUGGGGUAAAGGCCCACCAAGGCGACGAUCUGUAGCUGGUCCGAGAGGACGACCAGCCACACUGGAACUGAGACACGGUCCAGACUCCUACGGGAGGCAGCAGUGGGGAAUUUUGGACAAUGGGCGCAAGCCUGAUCCAGCAAUGCCGCGUGCAGGAUGAAGGCCUUCGGGUUGUAAACUGCUUUUGUACGGAACGAAACGGCCCUUUCUAAUACAGGGGCUAAUGACGGUACCGUAAGAAUAAGCACCGGCUAACUACGUGCCAGCCGCCGCGGUAAUAC